UGCCGGGUUGUGUAACGGUAGCACAGGAGCCUUUGGAGCUUCUUGUCCAGGUUCGAAUCCUGGCCCGGCAACCA
rnacentral:tRNA from 1 species